GAUAACUGGCUUGUGGCAGCCAAGCGUUCAUAGCGACGUUGCUUUUUGAUCCUUCGAUGUCGGCUCUUCCUAUCAUUGAGACGCAGAAGUCCCAAAGUGUNUAUAAAAAGGCCCUUAAUAGUAGCCCUAGUAUAGACUGCUACUGCAUUGGGGGCAGGAC
rnacentral:ncRNA from 1 species